rnacentral:rRNA from 1 species
GAUGAACGCUGGCGGCGUGCUUAACACAUGCAAGUCGAACGGAGCACUUGAAUGGAAUUCUUCGGAAGGAAGCUCAAGUGACUGAGUGGCGGACGGGUGAGUAACGCGUGGGUAACCUGCCUCAUACAGGGGGAUAACAGUUAGAAAUGACUGCUAAUACCGCAUAAGCACACGUGAUCGCAUGAUCGAGUGUGAAAAACUCCGGUGGUAUGAGAUGGACCCGCGUCUGAUUAGCUAGUUGGUGGGGUAAUGGCCCACCAAGGCGACGAUCAGUAGCCGGCCUGAGAGGGUGAACGGCCACAUUGGGACUGAGACACGGCCCAAACUCCUACGGGAGGCAGCAGUGGGGAAUAUUGCACAAUGGGGGAAACCCUGAUGCAGCGACGCCGCGUGAAGGAUGAAGUAUUUCGGUAUGUAAACUUCUAUCAGCAGGGAAGAAAAUGACGGUA